ACCAAGAAAACCCAAGGUAAGAUCAGAGUCAGACAUGACUAAAAAGGUUGAAUAACAAAAAAUUUGAAGCCUUAAACUUGGAUUUUAAAACAUUAAUUUUGCAAGUACAAGAAAUAGAACACUAAGGAGUACCCAUUGAAGACAAUCAAGAGAAUGGAGUAUCAUGUGCAAGAGAUAGCAAAGCCAGUGCCACUGAAUGAAUCAGAGUAUAUGGAGGAGAAUAAAGUGAAAGAUCAGUGAGAAAAGAAAGGGUGAAGUUGUGGGAGUUUUUACAUACUACACAGCACUUUUAUGCUUGAUUCUGCAAAUUAUAGGGAACCACUGGUGCCUAAUGAGUAAGGAGGUUACAUGUAAGAUCUAUACUUUAGGGAAGUCACUUGGGCAGCUGUAUAGAGAAAGAACAGCACAGAGAAAUUUGAUGCAGGAAGAUCAACCAGAAAGCUGUUGUAGUCCAGAUGAGAGGUGAUAAACUCUAUACCAGUUUGGUGGCCAUGUAGACAGAAGGAGAGUGUACACAAGAUUUGUGAAGGUGGAAAGAGCUAGGUUUGGCAACAGAUUGAAUUUAUAAAGUGAGUGCAAGAGAGAAGUUGAGAUUGUAAAUUUUAAUGACUGGGAAAAUGGCGGUGUCCUGUAUUGCAUUACAGAGGGAAUUUGGAAGACACAAGGGUUGGGAAGCAGAGCCAGCAAGUUCUGGUUUGGACAUUUUGAAUUUGAGAUGCCUGCGGAACAUUUAGCUCAAGAUACCCAAGAGAGGAUUGAUGAAAAAUGAGACUGGAGCUCGGGAGAGAGGGUCUUACAAGAUAUUGAAAAGUUGGAAGAGCCAUCUAAGAUCCAGUGGUUAAAGGUAAAAGAUUAUCUAGAGACGGAAUAGACCAGCUUAUGAUAGUGUAAGUUUUGAAAGUUGGAAGAAUCAACAAAUAUGCACUGAAUCCAACGAUGAGCCAGUCUUGAGGAGAAAGUUGUUUGAUUCCACCCAGCAGUGAAUCCACCAAGGAAGAUGAGACACUAUCCUGUAAGCCAUGGUGAUAAUGAUUCGUGAUUCAUCCAUUGUCCAUACCAUACCCAGAAGUUAAUUUGGAGGAUACUCCUUUAGGAAGAAAGGACUCCAAAGACCAUCAGUCACAUUUAUUCCUUCCAUAUAAGUUUCACUAUAUUUUGCAAAGCCACUAGCAAUGGACAUGUUUCACUUGAUGGCCACAGCUGUCUUUCUGAAUCUCAUGGAUGAAGAUACCUGGUAUGUUGGUGGAACCCAGUAGCACUUCAACAUUAUUCACCUCUGUUUUGGUCAUAUCUGUAACUGUGUCUUCAACUUGCUCUCUAGAAUACUGACCCCAAAACACUUACCAAGGUGGAAAAUCUAAUUUCUGAGAUGGAAAGACUACAAAUCACCCAAAUCUCCCCUGAUCUUUAAGAAUUGACUUCAAUAUAUGGCUAUGCAAAGAAAUAAAAACCAAACUAUUACUGAUCUAAGGAGCUUAUAUUUAUUUGAUAAGACAAAGAAGAAAUUUAAGGGUUUCUUUUUGGUAGAUAAUCUUCAGGAAAAAUCACUUUUAAAGCUUUUCCUCCUGGAAAGAUCAUCAUGAGCCAAACCAAACAUUUUC